GUCGAGGUUGAGAUCGGUGGUGAGCUGAUGCGAGGCCAGCAAUCAUGAGCGAAAGAGCGAAAGCGUGCUAAAGGAAGACUUGUGGGUCAAGAGUGUGUGUAUGUGUGUGCGUGUGUCUCUCUGUGUGUGUGUGUGUGUGGUGUCCGAGCCGAACUGCAGAUGACACGGGCGCGGGGGACGUGCGUCGGAGUCGGGUGAGGGGCGAGUCGUCCCGGUGUUAGAUGGCCCCCGAACAGAGAGGAGCAACAACACAAAUGGUGCAGAGGUGAAGAGCGCACCAUCCCCCAGACACGGUGCCACAGGCCAGGCCCCGAGGACCUCCACAGGCUGCUGAAGGCUGCACACUAGAGGCCCAGGGCACCCAGAGGACCUCCACAGGCUGCUGAAGGCUGCACACUAGAGGCCCAGGGCACCCAGAGGACCUCCACAGGCUGCUGAAGGCUGCACACUAGAGGCCCAGGGCACCCAGAGGACCUCCACAGGCUGCUGUAGGCUGCACACUAGAGGCCCAGGGCACCCAGAGGACCUCCACAGGCUGCUGAAGGCUGCACACUAGAGGCCCAGGGCACCCAGAGGACCUCCACAGGCUGCUGAAGGCUGCACACUAGAGGCCCAGGGCACCCAGAGGACCUCCACAGGCUGCUGAAGGCUGCACACUAGAGGCCCAGGGCACCCAGAGGACCUCCACAGGCUGCUGAAGGCUGCACACUAGAGGCCCAGGGCACCCAGAGGACCUCCACAGGCUGCUGAAGGCUGCACACUAGAGGCCCAGGGCACCCAGAGGACCUCCACAGGCUGCUGUAGGCUGCACACUAGAGGCCCAGGGCACCCAGAGGACCUCCACAGGCUGCUGAAGGCUGCACACUAGAGGCCCAGGGCACCCAGAGGACCUCCACAGGCUGCUGAAGGCUGCACACUAGAGGCCCAGGGCACCCAGAGGACCUCCACAGGCUGCCGUAGGCUGCACACUAGAGGCCCAGGGCACACAGAGGACCUCCACAGGCUGCUGUAGGCUGCACACUAGAGGCCCAGGGCACCCAGAGGACCUCCACAGGCUGCUGUAGGCUGCACACUAGAGGCCCAGGGCACACAGAGGGCAUUCACACCUUGUUAAGUUUUACAACUUGUGCAUUUGUCGGUCCCCAGGCCCUCUAUUGCCCCUGUGACUCAGUCACUCCUUUGAAGUGACCUUCUCAACAAAGCAGGGUGAUGGAGAAAGUCAGGGUGAAGAUUUUCCCUUAUGAAUGUGAAUGUAGCUUGGCAGAGGAUGCAAAGGGCCUCCUAGCAGACCAUCAUGUCAAAUUGGUAGAACCGAUUAAUAUUCAUGGGCUAAAGAAUAAUAUUUUGUUAAAAUAACAUGUGAGAAUUGACAUUGAAUUACUUAAAAGAUUGUUCUUGUGGGCAAAGUUUCUCAGAGGUAACUUCCUGACCAUUAUCAUAAACUAUAGUUAUUGCAAUGUAUAUUGAGAGAGAGCAAAUGUAUACGCAAUGUAUAUUGAGAGAGACCAGCACAAAACGAGAGAGUAGCACAUAGAGCCAUUGAAUCAUUCUGUUUCUGACGUUGCCUGGUUCAUCACCAAAGUCCCCUAAUCCUUCUAUUGCAUGCUGGAAUUUAUAUUGAAACGCUCUUGCCCCAUACAUGCUCACAGUGUUGGUGGGGGACAUGAUGUCAGUUGCGGCUUGCAUGGAUUGCUUCACUUUUGUUCCGAAAUUCUUUCCCUUUUACCUGUACAUGAGAGACUGUUGUAAAUUGCAUGAAGGAAUGCCUAUUGACGUGAUUAAAGGAGCAGAAAG